CCCCCAAGCCAUCAUCUUCUUCAAAAAGCAAAAUAACCAACACAACCCUAAGAGACCUAGGAUAGCCGUCACCCUUCUAACUUUAGGACUCCAUCGCUACCUUCUUCAACCUCACAAACCUUGAGAGACCAGCCAUACCCAUUUCUUCUUCUUCAUGAAUACUACAACAAAAAAACCCUAGUCACCAUAACCACUAGCAGCCGCCAGUCCACCCCCCUUCGUCGGAUCUCUCACGCCGCCGACCAGUCAUGCAGUCGCUGCCAUCGCGAAAAAAACAGCAGCCGCCAGUCCACCCCCCUUCGUCGGAUCUCUCACGCCGCCGACCAGUCAUGCAGUCGCUGCCAUCGCCAAAAAAACAACCAGACCCAUCGUCGUUGAGCAAUCACCAUCCCACGACCAUAAUUCCAGCUUCCAGUCCAUUGUCGCGCCACCCCAAACACCAACAAACGAACCACGCAUAACUAGUCAAUACAUCUUGGAACAAGCACGGCCUCCAUUUCGCUCUCUCUCUCUCUAUCUCUCUUUGUUGGAGUCAAUCAAUGCUGAUCCUUCCAAAAAUCUGUCAAGGCAACUUAAUCUCAUAUUAUUAAGAGAUGUUUACACCAUUGGUAGUCUACUAUUUCUUAAACUUCCCUGCCAUGAAAAUGCAGUCGCAAUCUCAUGAGGUUUUCAGUUCGAGGACUUACCCACGUCUUCGGUUCAGGUUCCAAUCGCUUGAGGUCUACUUUUCCCUUAUUUUGCUGAUUUGCUUCAUAUUUCACUUUCCUUUGUUUCGCUGAUUGUUGCUUCUCUAUUAUGUUUAUCAUUUGAAUUGUUAUUUUAUUAUUCUAUUUGGAUGUGCUAAAUACAAGUAUGAAUUUGUGGGUAAGAAAAAUUUACGAGUAGAACAUGAAUAUAAAUUAUAACAACCGAAAAUGGGCUGUGUGAACUAAAUUAAGUGAAGUGGAGAUUAUUUGGUUUAAUUUGCUAGAAAUGGGACGUAGGUUUGGGUUAGAAAGAAUCAAUUCACUUGGAACAUGGGUUAAUUUUUCUUUUAGUUAGUUCUCUUUUGUUUAUUUCUUUAUUUUCUAUUCUUUUUGUUAUUAUGUUACCCGCUAGUAGCAUAUUUAGGAGGCCACGCUUGGGGUAGGCAAACCUUAGAAGUUGUGUUAGCUUCGAAGCGAGAGGUCAUUUUCUUAGUUAAAUUUUUUCAGGGAAUACCCCACGUAAUUUGUAUAUAUUUUAUCCGGGGUAUGCCCCGAAGUACUUGUAUUUGGACGCCUAAAGUGGAACCCAUAGUAUUUUUAUCUUUAUUUUUCUUUUAUUAGGCGGGAACGACCUCGAGCCUCUUCUGCGUUUGUUUUUUUCUUUUCUGUGUUUGUUUCUACCUCAAUUAAAUAUUUUAAAUGCCAACUAGAUCGAGGACGCAAUUGUGACCUUCUCGGGAGUUGGGAGUGCCUAACACCUUUUCCCCGAGUCAAAUAAACCCCAUUACCCGAGUCUCUGGUGCAGAUUUAGUUUUAGAGUCCCAAGCGGUGACCUGGCAUACCAAAAUUAAAUAUAAGGUGGCAACUCUGAGUUAUUUUCUUUUGAACACUAUCUUUUGUCACUUUCAAAAUUAAAAACCCUUUUGAGCUUCACAAAAUUCUUUUUAUUUAUUUACGAGGGUUAAGUGAAGUUUAUAAAAAAGGGGUGUGACAAUCACCGUCCAGAAUAAGUAUCCAAUGCCGAGGAUUGAUGAUUUAUUUGACUAGCUUCAGGGAGCCAACGUAUUUUCAAAGAUUGAUUUUAGAUCUGGCUACCAUCAGUUAAGGAUUAGGGCAUCUUAUGCCUGUAAUAUAGCUUUUCGCACUCGCCACGGGCAUUAUGAGUUUCUGGUAAUGCCAUUUGGGUUGAUAAAUGCCCCGACAAUAUUCAUUGAUUUGAAGAACCGAGAGUUCAGGUCGUAUCUGGAUUCCUUUGUGAUUGUAUUCAUUGAUGAUAUUUUUAUUUACUCCCGCAGUCGAGAGGAGAAUUAACAGCAUCUUCGAGUCGUUCUUCAGGCUCUGAGAGACAGUCAAUUGUAUGCUAAGUUUUUGAAAUGUGAGUUUUUGUUGAGUUUAGUUACCUUCUUGGGCAACAUUGUAUUAUCAUAGGGUAUUCAGGUGGAUCCAAAGAAGAAAGAGGCUGUCAAGGACUGGCCUAGAGUCACAUCAGCUACAGAGAUCUAGAGUUUCUUUGGUUUGGCAUGUUAUUACCUACGGUUUGUGGAGUUAUUUUCAUCAAUAGAAGCCCUAUGACCAGGUUGACCCAAAAGGGUGCCACACUUAGGUGGUCGGACAAGUUUGAGGGGAGCUUUCAGAAGAUCAAGACAGCUUUGACUACGGCACCAGUUUUGGUAUUUCCCACAGGCUCAGGGGCAUAUGCAAUAUAUUGUGGCGCAUCUCGUGUUGGAGUUGGUGCGGUGUUGAUGCAGAAUGGCAAGGUUAUUGUUUAUGCUUCACGACACUUGAUGGUUCAAGAGAAGAAUAAUCCAGUUCAUGAUUUGGAGCUUGCAGCCAUUGUUCACGCAAUGAAGAUUUGGAGGCAUUAUUUGUAUGGCAUGUCAUGUGAGGUGUUCACGGAUCACGAGAGUCUAUAGUAUUUGUUCAAGCAGAAGGAGCUGAAUUUAAGGUGGAAGAGGUGGUUGGAGCUAUUGAAAGACUAUGAUGUCACCAUCUUAUAUCAUCCAGGGAAGGCCAAUGUGGUGGUCGAUGCUUUGAGUAGGAAGUCGGCUAGUAUGGGUAGCCUUGAAUAUAUCCCAGUCGGUUAGAGACCACUUGUUUUGUAUGUUCAGGCCUUCGCCAAUCAGUUCGUGAGGUUGGACCUCUCUAAUCCUAGCCGUGUUUUAGCUUGUACAGUCACUCAUCCUUCAUUGUUUGAGUGUAUCAAGGAUCGGCAUUAUGAUGAUCCUCAUUUGCUUGUCCUUAGGGACACAGUGCAGCACGGCAGUGCCAAGCAGGUUACAGCUGAAGAUGAUGGAGUUUUGAGGAGCAGGGUCAUGUUUGUAUGCCUAAUAUGGAUGGAGUUUGUGAGUUGAUUUUAGAGGAGGCCCAUAGUUUCCGUUAUUCUAUUCAUCUGGGUGCCGCUAAUAUGUAUCAGGAUUUGCGGAAACAUUACUGGUGGAGAAGAAUGAAGAAGAAUAUUGUGGCGUAUGUAGCUUGGUGUUUGAAUUGUCAGCGGGUAAAGAACGACGACCGGAGACCUGGUGGUUUGUUUCAGAAGAUUGAGAUUCCUAAGAAAAAGUGGGAGCGUAUUACCAUGGGCUUCGUUGUUGGACUCCCACAUACUCAGAAAAAGUUCGAUGCAGCAUGGGUUAUUAUUGAUAGGCUGACUAAGUCAGCACAUUUCAUUCAUGUAGCAUUUUCCUAAUCCUCGGAGCAGUUAGUUGAGAUCUAAAUCUGGGAGAUUGUUCGUAUUCAUGGUGUGCCCGUGUCUAUCAUUUUGGACUUUGAUAUGCAGUUUACCUUGCAUUUCUAGAGGUCAGUACAACAUGAGUUGCAUAUGCGGGUCGAGUUGAGUACAACAUUUCAUCCUCAGACGGACGGACAGUACGAGCGUACUAUUCAGAUUUUGGAGGAUAUGUCCCGAGCAUGUGUUAUUGACUUAGAGGUUCUUGGGAUCAGUUCUUUCCGUUAGCAGAGUUGGGAUGGUUUGAGUCGGGAGAGGCACAGUAGUUGGGUACAUAUUUGGUACAAGAUACCUAGAACAAGGUCAAGAUCAUUAGGAUAGACUUCGUACAACUCAGUUCAGGAAAAAGUGUUAUACCGACCGUAAGGUUCGUGAUGUGGCAUUCAUGGUCGGAGAGCGAGUGUCACUUCGGGUGUCACCCAUGAAGGGCGUGAUGAGAUUUGGGAAGAAAGGAAAGUUAAACCCUAGGUUCAUCGAGCCUUUUGAGAUUCUUGGUCAAGUGGGAGAGGUGGCUUACAAACUUGCGUUGCCACCAAGUUUGUCACCUAUGCAUGCAGUGUUUCAUGUGUCCAUGCUUUGAAAUUAUCAUGGCGAUCCAUCUCACGUGUUAGACUUCAGCACAGUCCAGUUGGACAUGGACUUGACCUAUGAGGAGGAGCCCGUAGCUAUUCUAGAUCGGCAGGUUUGUCAGUUGAGAUCGAAGAAUUUUCCUUUAGUUCGUGUGCAGUGGAGAGGUCAGCUUGUUGAGGUUGCUAUCCGGGAGUCCGAGUUUGAUAUGCGGAGCCGAUAUCCCCAUAUCUUUACACCAACUCAUGUACUUUUCUAUGUCAGUUCAAGGACGAAAGAUUAUUGUAGAGGUGGAGAAUGAGAUGAUCGAAAGGGGUCAUAUUUUGUUUUAGAACCUAAAUCCUAGUUUUGAGGCCUUAAAAACCUCAUUUUCUUUCCCAUUGUUUUGCAUGCAUAGUCCGGAUGCGUUUCCGGAAAGCGUUUAUGUGAAAUUUAAGAAAAAUAUGAAAUUUGUCCUUUAAAAUUGACUUCGGUCAAUAUUUUUGGUAAACAAACUUGGACCCAUAAUUUGACGGUCCGGUAGGGUCCGUAUUAUGAUAUGGGACUUGAGCGUAUGCCCCGAAUCAAAUUCCGAGGUCCCUAACCCGAGAAAUGAAUUUUUAAAGAAAAUUCUUUGCUGAAAUAUAUAGAGGCUUUCGGAAAUGAAAUAGUUUGUGAUCUAGAUGGUAUCAUCUCAUAUUUUGGUUCUAAACACAGUACAUGUCCAUUGUAAUAUUUAAACCUUAUCUGUAAAAUUAGGUGAGAAAUGGAAGCGGUUUGAUAUAAAUCAAACCCUUGAUUGAGAAAAAAGAAAAUUUGAACUAUCUUUAUGAAUUUCAUGAGUUUUGGUGUUAAAUGCUUUGUUUAAGAUGUUAUUUUGGUAAUUUGAUCGCACGAACAAGCCCGUAUGAUGUUUCUAGACUUAUAUGCAUGUUUGGGUUGGAGCCCUGAGGGAUGGGGUGAGUUUUGGAUAGACCACAGAGUGAGUUUGGAUUUUGACAAAUUUCUGUUGCAUAUGGUAUUUUGUUGCAGGCUAUGCUCUAGCAAUUGUGAGGUGAGGCUUCACAAUUGUGAGCUUCACAAUCUUGGCAAUUGCAAGGGCUCUAUCGCAAUUGCGAAGAAGCCUUGGCCAGUAUAGUUCACAUUUGCGGACAUUUCCUCUACAUUUGUGAAGUCAACAGGGAAGUCAACCUUCGCAAUUGCGACAAAUUGUUUGCAAUUGUGACAGAAGCGAAUCCUAUCUCACAAUUGUGGGCUUCGCAAUUGCAUAGCUCUUGUUGCAAAUGUGACAUCUGCAACUGAUCUAAACAUCACUUAGUCGGGAUUUUAACUUCAUUCUUUAAUAUAUCAAAACCCAAACCCGAAAGGGCGAUUUUCCUAGAGCAAGUUCUUCCCCAAAUCAUAGGUAAAGAAUCUUAACUCUUUUCCUUCAAUCUAUUUCAUCUUUUAACAUCAUUUCACUUCAAAAUCUAGUAUUUUUCAUGGGAAAUUGGGUGUUCUUAAGUAGAAAUUAGGAAUUUCAAAAAUUUGGGGAUUUGGACCUCAAAUUGAGGUCGGAUAUCAAAACCAAUUGCAUAUUUGGGUUCGUGUGUUAAAGGGUAAUCGGGGGCCCAGGGUCGGUUUUUUGAAUUUCUGGGGAAAACAUUUGGAAAAUCUGUACUCAUGAAUUAAAAUUGGUUUAUUUACAUUUAUUGAUGUUAUUAAAUAAAUUAUGACUAGAUUCAAGCGGAUUGGAAGUGGAGCCGAGAGGUAAAGCAGUAAUUGAG
rnacentral:lncRNA from 1 species